rnacentral:rRNA from 1 species
UACGGAGGGAGCUAGCGUUAUUCGGAAUUACUGGGCGUAAAGCGCACGUAGGCGGCUUUGUAAGUAAGAGGUGAAAGCCCAGAGCUCAACUCUGGAAUUGCCUUUUAGACUGCAUCGCUUGAAUCAUGGAGAGGUCAGUGGAAUUCCGAGUGUAGAGGUGAAAUUCGUAGAUAUUCGGAAGAACACCAGUGGCGAAGGCGGCUGACUGGACAUGUAUUGACGACUGAGAGGCGAAAGAC